AUGGCUCCGCCGCGGUAUAUAUAUAUAUAUAUAUAUAUAUAUAUAUAUAUAUAUAUAUAUAUAUAUAUAUAUAUAUAUAAGUUUUUUAAAAACGUUAAUCAUGAUGAAUGAAGGAGUUGCUUAAAUGUCUAUAAAAUAUAUGCUCAUGCAUACAUAUUAUAUUGUUUGGAACGAAAGUAUUAUCUACAAUUAAAUUCGAUGUUGGUCAAUGAGAAACUACACUCAAUGUAAUAUUUUCGUUGUUAGAACUAAACCUAUUAUAUUGUGAGAGACUACACAUUCAAAUCAUAGAGGGUUUGAUCUAUAUUGCAUGAAUAAGAGUAAUUAUCACCACCCAUGAACAAGGGCUAGAUACUUCAAUAUCAUAUGCGUUGGCAUAUUGAUAUUGUAUUAGAAUUGUUUUAGCUUUGUCAUGAUGUGUUAUAUGUUGAGAAAGUGUUAGAUAUGCAUGUUUAAUGUUUAUUACAUGUGUUGUGUACUUGCUCGAUGAUUUAUGUGU
rnacentral:lncRNA from 1 species